GACGAACGCUGGCGGCGUGCUUAACACAUGCAAGUCGAACGAAGAGCGAUGGAACCUGGCUUCUUUCAAUCUUAGUGGCGCACGGGUGAGUCACACGUAAUCAACCUGCCCUUCAGAGGGGGACAACAGUUGGAAACGACUUCUAAUACCGCAUACGAUCUAAUCUCGUCAUCGAGGAUAGAUGAACGGUGUCCUCUACAUGUAAGCUUUCACUGAAGGAGGGGAUUGGGUCUGAUUAGCUAGGUGGGGGGGGAACGGCCCACCAAGGCGAUGAUCAGUAGCCGGUCCGGGAGGAGGAACGGCCACAAUGGGACUGAGACACGGCCCAGACUCCUACGGGAGGCAGCAGGGGGGAAUCUUCCGGAAUAGACGGAAGGCUGACGGAGCAACGCCGCGUGAGUGAUGACGGCCUUCGGGUUGGAAAGCUCUGUUAAUCGGGACGAAAGGACUUCUUGAGAAUAGUGGGAAGGAUUGACGGUACCGGAUCAGAAAGCCACGGCUAACUACGUG
rnacentral:rRNA from 1 species